UUAUGAGUGCUGCUAUUUACUGUUUUAUGUAGUUAGCAGUAUGGGUCAGGCUCUUCUGUCGCACCUGUAACUCUGUGUGAAGAAACAGCCUGCAUGGGAGUGUGUGUGCUUGUUAUUUCUUCAGGGCAAUGGAGAUGAACUGUAAUGCAAAGAAGCACAGUGAAAAGCUAAAGAGAAACAGGGGCUAGUUAUGGCAGGGUGGAAGUGAGAAGAUGCGUCUGAAUCAGUUGCUCUUGUGAGAGUGAAGAUAGUGCCUCAGUCUGCAUGCACUGCUGCAAGGAGAAGGGAUGGAGCACACACACAGACACUGCUAUGGCUGUCUGGGGUAGUAGAAGCUUUGGGCCAGGCUGUGGAAUGUGUAGGCUGAAAGAGUGCAGGUCUGAGUCCCCUCAGCUGCAGCAGGAGUAUCGAGCUCUGCCCCUGAGCUGGCAAGUCAGCAUCUCCUGCUCUGCAGAGCAGGGAGUAACUCUGACUAAGGUGAGCAGAAUCUGCCAAAGAAGAGGAUGGUUUUGGAUUUGUUGUGUCUGAUGAAGAAGAGGAAAGGGUGCUCGGCUUUAAAAGUUACUGUGGGUGUUCUUGACCUCAAUACCAGGACGCCUGUAGCAGCUGCUGCCUCAGUACCUUCUUCAGUGACCUCUGCGAAAGUUUUGUGAAUAACUUUUGAUAUGAAGAGGUUCUUCUUCACUGACAUCCUUGUGAAAUCAGCCUGAACAGGGUCAAGAGCAUUUUGUAUCCCCAUGUUGCACAAAGUGGAUGUAAGAUCGUAAUUUUCUUCCAUCUUCAACUUGGGCAGAACAUGCACAUCAGCCCACAGAGGAGCGAGGAAGAGAGUCAGAAAUGUCUGCAAGAACUAGGGGGAUGGAGCAUUUAUGGCAUACAGCCACCCAACACUUCAGCAGUGAAACAGGUCUGAUAGAUACCAUUCUUCUUCUUUUUGGUCUCCCCCGAGAAGGUCUGGCCACAGAAGAGCUUUCAGCUCCAGCGGCUUCAGUGAAAUGAAGAACCUGCAAACAGUUUACAAAGGGGAAACACAUCUGCCAAAGAGGAGAAUGGCGUUGGUUUCGAUGUGCUUGACACAGAAGAGGAAUGGAUGGUCAGCCCUAAAUUCUUCAGUAGCAUCCACUCCAGCCUCUGCUGAGCCUACCACAUCUCUGCCCGCUUCAUUGAUUUCUGCAUAUGCUGCAUGGACAGCUUGAGAUAUCUUCAGGCUCCCUACUGAGGAGAUGCCAGACAGAUUGGCUGAAGAGCUGAACAGGAGUUAAUGAGCUGUCUGGCUUGGUCUGAUGCUGUUUUGAAGUUCACUGUUUCCAGACCUGAUCUGUACAGUUUCUUCACACAUUUCAGGGCCAUCUUUUUUCCCUGGAAAUGCUUUCUGUGAAGGCUGUUGUCACAGCUGCUGCAGAGAAAAAAGAUGUAGAAGUCCACACCACUGAGGCUUUGAAAGUCUGAAGAUUGAAUGGACUUCAAUUAGCAGUUCAGGCCCGACUGGCAGCAGCUCGGGCGUCCUGGUGGUCAAGCUGGUGGCGGAUCGUGGGACCGUAGAGGGCUGCAGCGGUGCUGAUGAGCCUUCUUACGAAGGCUGGUGCUGGUGCUCAGCUGCAGCGCCUGCACCAAGGCCUCCUCGUCCAGACCAUGUUGACAAAGGAAGUUCACCGUGUCAUUUUUGAAGAUAAAAAGUGACUUAGUGUGCGUGAUGUUUGUAUAAUAAUACCAGUUAAUCACAAUUAAUAAGGAGCAGGUAUAAGAAUGGAUGAUAAAUGGAUUAAUACUGUUAGUAAUUAUGUUGUUCAUACUACACAACACACAACUGAAAAGAACCAGCUGUUGAAUGUACACAGUUGCUACUUCCUUUAAAACAGCGAGGUAAUGUCAGAAAGAAACCUGUAAAUGAGUUAAAGGAGCUAUUGGAGUGAGUCCAGGGGAGAACCAUGAUCAGGGGGCUGGAGCACCUCUCUUAUGAAGAAAGAUGGAGGGAGUUGGGCUUGUUCAGUUUGGAGAAAGCACUGGGAAAGUCUCAUUGCAGCCUUCCAGUACUUGUAGAGAGCUUAAAACAGGAGGGGGAAUUAACUUUUAGAAUAGUUCAGUAGUGGUACAACAAGGAGGAUGGUUUUAAACUAAAAGAGAGAGAAUUUAGGUUAGAUGUUGGAAGGAAACAAUUUACUCAUUGAGUGGUGAGGCGCUGACACAGCUGCCUGGAGAAGCUGGUCACAUUCAGUGUCUGGAUGACAACCGAGCUCAGUGGACGUCAAGUUGUGUUCUGCUGAGACUAUACAUUUUUUG